GACGAACGCUGGCGGCGUGCCUAAUACAUGCAAGUCGAGCGGACCACUUCGGUGGUCAGCGGCGGACGGGUGAGUAACACGUGGGCAACCUGCCUGUAAGACUGGGAUAACACCGGGAAACCGGUGCUAAUACCGGAUAAUCCUUCUCUUCUCAUGAAGAGAAGCUGAAAGACGGUUUCGGCUGUCACUUACAGAUGGGCCCGCGGCGCAUUAGCUAGUUGGUGAGGUAACGGCUCACCAAGGCAACGAUGCGUAGCCGACCUGAGAGGGUGAUCGGCCACACUGGGACGGAGACACGGCCCAGACUCCUACGGGAGGCAGCAGUAGGGAAUCUUCCGCAAUGGGCGAAAGUCUGACGGAGCAACGCCGCGUGAGCGAUGAAGGCCUUCGGGUCGUAAAGCUCUGUUGUCAGGGAAGAACAAGUACCGGAGUAACUGCCGGUACCUUGACGGUACCUGACCAGAAAGCCACGGCUAACUACGUGCCAGCCGCCGCGGUAA
rnacentral:rRNA from 1 species